rnacentral:rRNA from 1 species
AAGACCUUGCGCUUUUGGAGCGGCCGAUGCCUGAUUAGCUUGUUGGUAAGGUAAAAGCUUACCAAGGCUUCGAUCAGUAGCUGGUCUGAGAGGACGACCAGCCACACUGGGACUGAGACACGGCCCAGACUCCUACGGGAGGCAGCAGUGGGGAAUUUUGGACAACGGGCGCAAGCCUGAUCCAGCCAUGCCGCGUGAGUGAAGAAGGCCUUCGGGUUGUAAAGCUCUUUCAGCCGGGAAGAAAAGGUUGCGAUUAAUAAUCGCAAUUUAUGACGGUACCGGAAGAAGAAGCACCGGCUAACUACGUGCCAGCAGCCGCGGUAAUACGUAGGGUGCGAGCGUUAAUCGGAAUUACUGGGCGUAAAGGGUGCGCAGGCGGUUUUGUAAGUCAGAUGUGAAAUCCCCGGGCUUAACCUGGGAACU